rnacentral:rRNA from 1 species
GAUGAACGCUAGCGGCAGGCUUAACACAUGCAAGUCGAGGGGUAUUGGUUUUCGGACCAAGAGACCGGCGCACGGGUGCGUAACGCGUAUGCAAUCUACCUUUUGCAGAGGGAUAGCCCAGAGAAAUUUGGAUUAAUACCUCAUAGUAUAGUACCUUGGCAUCAAGGAACUAUUAAAGUCACAACGGCAAAAGAUGAGCAUGCGUCCCAUUAGCUAGUUGGUAAGGUAACGGCUUACCAAGGCCACGAUGGGUAGGGGUCCUGAGAGGGAGAUCCCCCACACUGGUACUGAGACACGGACCAGACUCCUACGGGAGGCAGCAGUGAGGAAUAUUGGACAAUGGGCGCAAGCCUGAUCCAGCCAUGCCGCGUGCAGGAUGACGGUCCUAUGGAUUGUAAACUGCUUUUAUACAGGAAGAAACACUGGUUCGUGAACCAGCUUGACGGUACUGUAAGAAUAAGGAUCCGGCUAACUCCGUGCCAGCAGCCGCGGUU